AGAGUUUGAUCAUGGCUCAGAACGAACGCUGGCGGCAGGCCUAACACAUGCAAGUCGAGCGAACCCUUCGGGGUUAGCGGCGGACGGGUUAGUAACGCGUGGGAAUAUGCCCAAAGGUACGGAAUAGCCUCGGGAAACUGAGAGUAAUACCGUAUGUGCCCUUCGGGGGAAAGAUUUAUCGCCUUUGGAUUAGCCCGCGUUGGAUUAGGUAGUUGGUGGGGUAAUGGCCUACCAAGCCGACGAUCCAUAGCUGGUUUGAGAGGAUGAUCAGCAACACUGGGACUGAGACACGGCCCAGACUCCUACGGGAGGCAGCAGUGGGGAAUCUUAGACAAUGGGGGAAACCCUGAUCUAGCCAUGCCGCGUGGACGAUGAAGGCCUUAGGGUUGUAAAGUCCUUUCAGCUGGGAAGAUAAUGACGGUACCAGCAGAAGAAGCCCCGGCUAACUCCGUGCCAGCAGCCGCGGCAAUACGGAGGGGGCUAGCGUUGUUCGGAAUUACUGGGCGUAAAGCGCACGUAGGCGGAUUAGAAAGUCAGAGGUGAAAUCCCAGGGCUCAACCCUGGAACUGCCUUUGAAACUCCUAGUCUUGAGUUCGAGAGAGGUGAGUGGAAUUCCGAGUGUAGAGGUGAAAUUCGUAGAUAUUCGGAGGAACACCAGUGGCGAAGGC
rnacentral:rRNA from 1 species